rnacentral:rRNA from 1 species
UACGUAGGGGGCAAGCGUUGUCCGGAAUCAUUGGGCGUAAAGCGCGUGUAGGCGGCCCGGUAAGUCCGCUGUGAAAGUCGGGGGCUCAACCCUCGAAUGCCGGUGGAUACUGUCGGGCUAGAGUGCGGAAGAGGCGAGUGGAAUUCCUGGUGUAGCGGUGAAAUGCGCAGAUAUCAGGAAGAACACCCGUGGCGAAGGCGGCUCUCUGGGCCUUACCUGACGCUGAGGAGCGAAAGCGUGGGGAGCAAACAGG